rnacentral:lncRNA from 1 species
GGUCUACUCACGCUUUCCUCUCUUCAGCACGCUGGCUGGCUUUAAUGGUUAUUUAUCUCAGUCUUUCUCUUCUUCCUGGGUGAGCGGUGGCCUCAGUGAGUGGCUGAGCAAACUUCCCUGCCCCACAAACUUGGGGCUUAGUUGUGAGCCUCACCUUGGACAAUGGAGUUGGGGGGGACAGCCCUUGUCCACACUGAGGCUUUCUACAUGUUUAGAACACUUGUGGAUGGCCUGCUACUUCCAGGGGAUCAUCACUACUUCAGCCACAGGAGCUGUGGACACAGCCUGCAUGCCCUGGGCCCACCCAGCUGUGCCUUGCCGAGUUGGCAGACCCACAGACCCUGGUAAGAAAUACUGACAUGAUAAGCUACUGAAAUUUUUCAGUUAUUUAUUUUGCAGCACUGGCAUGAAACAGCUGAUUAGAACUAUAGUUGAUAUGUGUACCUCAGCAGUUGAUAAUUUCACUGAAUAUCAAUUGAUGCCCCUCCCUCCAUCCCUUCUUGGAAUCUUUAAAGCUGUGGAUUCCAUGUUGAAGACUUGUGCCACAGAUGUUCUGGAAUGUGAUGUUUGUUGUGUGUUCUACACAAUCUGUGUGGCAUUUUACUUUCUUCUUUUUAUUCUAAUAAUUACUAGUUAUUUUUUCUCCUGAAAGCUUAGAGUUUUGCUCAUUGUUAUUGGUGACACAAGCCUUAUUAUUAAUUUUAAGUUUUAGUCUGUCCUCAGAUACUAUGAUCCAUGUGGUUUUUGUUUGUUAAAUUUUGCUGAUGUUUUCUUUGGCACUUGGACGUGUUAAUAUUUAUACAUAUCACAUGGACUUUUUCCUUGCUUGAUCCUCUGACACACGCCAUUCCUACACGGUUGCAUUGUUUUAGGGUGACUUUCCGCAACAUAAAAUAAUCCUCUCAAUGCAGUGCAAAUUUUUCUAAAUUUAUUCUUUGUUAGUAAAAUGAUCAUUUCUGCAUCAAUUUCCCCAUUUGUCCUCAGAUCCCCAUCCAUCUUUUUAUUUUGAACAUUCUACUUCAUUUGUUUUAGACAUGUGGUUUGGAGCUUUUGGCUUUAACUUACCCUUUAAAGGCUGUGACAUUUCUGCCACACACGGUGGCUCACGCCUGUCAUUCUAGAGACUCUGGAGGCUAAAGCAGGAGGAUUGCAAGUUCAAGGCCAACCUCAAAACCCUGUCUCCAAACAAAAAAAAAUAAAAAGGGCUGGGGGUGCCGCUCAGUGUAGAGCACCCCUGGGGUCAAUCCUCAGCACCAAAAAGCAAACACGAGAAUCUUACAACAGCUCAGUUACUCAUUCCUACUUGAUCACCUUUUUUUGUCAUUUGAUUUGUCAUUUCUGCUCCUUAAGUGAGUUUUGUUCCUGUUUUAUUUUAAGUAUGGAGAAUAGACCUCAUUUGCCUUCAUCUCCUCAAAUGAUGUGUCAAGCUUAAACUGUGCUGAUUUUUACAGUUGUGCUGAACCUAGUUUCACGAUGUAGUUUCCUGCUGUGCUUCUUCAUAGAACAAUGACGCCGUUCUUGGGAGGCUCAUUGUUUGGUGCCUUCUUUUCUCCUGCUGCCCUUGCCGGGUUCAUUAACUUAGCAGGAGACUGGGAAUCUUUAGAAAACAACCUUCCUCCUUUAACAAACCCUCUCUGAAUAUAUGAUGCUUUCCUAAGGUGGUUACGAAAGCGACUCACCCUUUAGGCAGAUCACCAUGAGUCAGUUGGCGAUUGCUAUGGUUGUUUAUCAGCCUCUCCGUCUCGUCUCUAGGUGCUGGCUUCUGGUUUGGUUUUUGGUCAUCUGCAUGGCAGAACAAGCUUCCGGUGGCCUCAAGUGCUGGCCUCUUGUUCUGUUGCUUCACCUGUUAAUGAGCCAUGGCCUCCCACCAGUGGGGUCUUCGGGUUGGGGGAGCCAGAGACGCCCGUUGCUUUCCCUUUGGAGACUCCGGUUGUGCUGUUCUGAGGGCCUAGCUCUGUCGUCUUAACUUUGACUCUUCCUUGCUGACCCCAUGCUGAGGCAUUCUGCCCCUCCCCUCCCUGCCCUGUGGAGACGGCUCCACUCCAUUUUGCGGUUGGCAUUUUCUUUCCUGCUGGUUGCCUCUCUCUUCUGCUGCUCUCGUUUCUUUAUUGUAAUUCCCUCUUGAAUCUUAUUGGAAACCCAAUGUCAUUUUAUGAAACAUUCUGGCUUUCACUGUCAUAAACGCAGCUCAGCGGAAUCUUCCAAUGCCCUAGGACAGUAUCCUCCAUCUUUUAGGCUGCAGGAUUUCAUCCUGGGCCACGUGUUAAAUUCUCUUUUUGUUUCUCAAUGAGAGCCCGUGGGGUGUGGGUUGAAAAUGUGGCCCAGCUCUCACACUUCACCAGGGAGGGCCGCGGGAACUUGCUGCCCCUGGAUCUGGGCAGGCCCUGGUGUCCCCACUAGACUGUGCUCCCUGGAGGUUCCAGGAGGCGCUUCGGGGACGCGAGCAUGGUGAGCUAGGGGAACCUCCUCAGCACUCCUGGUGUCCCCCAGCAGGCCAUGACAGGCAGGAGGCUGAGGCUAAAACCUGGCUCACGGUGUCUGAGACUCACUGCUUCAUGGGGGACACUGGGGCUCCUGGCCUGGAGGGAGGGGCUUCUCUUUCCUUAGCGCCUGCCUUGGGGCUGCUCACUGUGAGGCAGAUGGCUCCUGCCUCUGGCUUUGUCCCUGGGUCAAUCAUGAGGCUUCGAGAGUCAGAGGGAAGGCAGCCAGAGUCCCCGGGGCCAGGGCUUCUCAGGAGGGGCUUUGCCUCUGUGCCUGGUGGGUCUAGUUGCAGGGGAGCAGGGGCAGCCAAGGCCUCUUCCCGCUUUCCUGUGUGUGACACUGAAGAUGGGUGGUUGGGGACAGAGUGUCAUUCCUGUAUGUGCCUUUUGUCACCUUGUUCCGAGAGACGCUGGGGAGUGGGUUGGCAAUGACAGUGAUGGCAUCACAUUAGCAGCCUCGGGAGCUGGCCCCAGCUGAGUCUCAGGGAGCUGCUCCACAAGCCCUCUGGGGUGGGAGUCAGUUCCCAAGGGUGCCCAUUCUGGGCCCAGAGGGUGCUAUCUGCUGGGUGCUUCCUGGGCUCUAGGGUAAAAACACUUUGCUUUUUUUCCAUUUGUGUGUUUUCUUGUUAUUUAAGGAAGCUCAGAAAUGGUGUUUCCGUGCCCUUACUUGGGUAUCCAUCACACUGUGUGAUUUCCAUGAGGAUUUCCUCUGAGGGUCUUUUCUGGGAAGGGAGAGGCUCUCGGGUUGUGUCAACCUCUGGUUAGCUGUUCUCCAGGAGUGGCCCAGUGUCAAUCUGGGUCACACAUGUGCUGAGCUCUAGAGGGACAACAGACAUGUCUGGGGCUUUUGGGGCACCUCUGUGAGAGGUGACAGGUGCCACUCAUCAAAGCCCUUUGGGAAUGCCUGCUGGGGGUGUGGUUAUGAAAGCUUUGGGAUCUCUGGUCCUAUGGUGGAGGGAGUGUGUGGGAUGCUCGGUAGAUUGUGAGGGGCUCUGAGGAUGCUGGGGUAUGCAGUGGGGAGUCCAUGGGGACUGCAAGGUACUGAUGUCUGGCAAUGUGCCUGGUGGUCCUUCCCGGAUCUGCCUCCAUGAAAAGCAGGUGACACUUCCUGUGUUCUGCAGAUGGGUGUCCUCCUCUUUGAAGUAAAAACACUGCAGGUGCAGAGGUCAUUGCCUCCCAGAGUCCCACAGCCAGUCAGCCAUGGGCCUCCAGCCCCAGACUCCUGGGGCAUCACCAUGGUCACCAAGGAAUGGGUUGGGUUAAGUGGCCACUUCCACUAUUGAAAAUGGGGGAAACCAAGGGAUCAUUCAAGUGAUGGGAAACACUUCUAAUUCAUGCAUGAAAAGAGGCAUAACUUUGUUAUGAGACAGCAGAGUUAGCAGGACUGGGGGCUUUCCCACAGGCAGAAUAAUCUCCUCACUCCUUCAGAAUGUGUCUCCUCCAUUCAUCUCUAGAUGUGCAGUUUUACGUCUAUUAGACAAUAGACAACAGUCUUUUAGUACUCCUCUAAUUUCUCUCAUGCUUUUCCUGUGAAAAGGAUCUUGCUUUUAUUCAAAGUAAAUGAGAUGUCCACUUAGUUUUGAGAAGCCGGCCACCUAAGGUGAGAGAAGGCUCUUGGGAUUCAGGCAAACAGUCCCUGUGAUUCGGUUCUGUGAGGAAGGGUCCUUGGAAGGGUCCUCGGAAGGCCAGGGCUUUGCCUGUCUGCACAAUGGCAGUCCGCUUCAUCGUACCCUAGUCACGGCCCCACUGCCUCCAUUCAGGGCUGCAAGGUGACCUCACUGGGGGAGAGGUGGCCUUCCGUGUCUCCUGUGUGCUGGAGGAAACUCCUGCUUCUUUUUGUGCAGUAGAGGACAGUCACGGCCGCUCAUGUGGAGAUGCUCUUGCUCCCACCGUAGCCUGUUUAGGAUGCAGCUUUGUGAGGCCAUUAAGAUGUGUUGUGGGGAAACACGCGCUGCGCGAAUCACUUUGUCAAGGCUCCUGUUAAGUAAUUGCUGCUAUCAAGGUCAAAUGAGAUCUCACUUAAAUUAAUUACAACUACAAGACCAAGACUAGAUGUGAUAAAAUUAUUAUUUUCUCACCUUUACAGUUCUCCAUAGGCCUGGAGGGAGUCCAAUUAGGACUUCAGGGAGGGGGCGGAUUCAUGUCUGUUAAAAUUAAGCUUGCAUAGAACCGGACAGAACAUCUGUUAAAUUGUGAUUAGCCAAAUUUCCCAAAUUUCAUUUGGACCGGUGCUAAAAAGACAUGUUUGCCAAAUAAUGAUCAAGACAGAUGCUCCAAUUACACAAUCGUAUUUGCAAAAAUAGUUUACUUAAAGGCAAAAUGUCGUUGGAUAAAAUGAAAGCUAAGUGACAUGUAGCCCCAUUUUUCACCUUAGUGAGCGGUGGGGAAGUGCCGCGAUGUGCGUGGAUCUCCAUGGCGUAGGGGGGUGUUUUGGGGUCUGAACACCAUGUUUUCAUUGCGAAUCACAUUUUUGACAAAAAUCUCCCCAGAGACCAACUUAGACCAAUAAUGUGAAAUAAAUGCAUAGAAAAAAACCGCACAUUCUGUGACAUUAAACUAGUAGCUCCAUGUCUAAGUCCCAUGAAGUGACCACAGGGAGCCCAGCAGCUCCUGUCAGAGAUGCAGAAUUUGAACUCUCUGAACUCAAAGCUGAGUGAUGGUGCGCCAGGCGUGCCCACAGCUGAUGGCUUCCUCCACAGUGGCACCUGCCAGGGGGCUCAGAAAGGAGCUGUGCUGCAGGGUGGCUGGCAGGAAACACUGGGCUCUCACCCUGCCCACUGCUGGAGGGAUGAGGUUGGAGAACUGCGUAUUGGACUUGGGCUCACAGCCUGCUCCUGCACCUGAGGGUGGCCCUGGGUCUUGCAGAGGGGCUGGGGAGACACCAUCUGCCUUGUGGGCUCUGUAGAGGGUGAAGAGCUCCCUGAGCUCCCCCUCAACCUGGGGAUACUCCAGUGUUUCCUGAGGAUUUGCUGUUCCUUUGUUGGGUCCAGUCUGGGAGGAAACUCCAGCAGGCCUUGGGCCUCCGGACAGUGCCCACGGGUAUGACUGUACUGGGAAGGUGAGAGCGGAGCAGGCAUGUCACACCGUCUGCCCUCUUCUCCAGCUCUCUGGAACUUCUUUGGUCCCUAACAGGGGUGGAGGUAGUGGCCCCUGUGCUGGCAGGUCAUGGCUGGUUCUGAAAGGGGGGCCUUCAGGCUUCUCCCCCACACACUCUGGCUGGCCACGCGGCCUCUUUCCUGCUGGGCUCUGAUGCUGGUGCACGGGGAAGGAGACACCUGGAGUGAUGGCAUGCUGGGGGUUGGAUAGCUGCCUGCUCCAGGCACCAAGGGAAGGCAGGGGCCGUGGGUAGCCCAGGGUGAGCCUGAGAAGCUCCGUUGUGUGAUAGAGCCUGCUUUGCCCCGUGCUGAUGGUGGCGGCACCCACGGUCCUGUCGUCCUAUCGGGAAGUCCUGGUUAAUAUACGUACAGCUUAAAUUGAAGGUAGAAUGGGGUGGCAGGUGCAUCUGUAGCAACCAUGAGUGCAGUUCCCUGGAUGCACUGCAUUGUCUGAAGCUUAGUUCUGUGGGGUAGACACGGCCUUCUCAGAAGGGCAGGUCUCUGGUGACCCUGGAGAAAGUGAACUGGGGAGCAGUAGGGCAGCUGCCCCAGGGAGGUCAACCCUUCUGUGGCUUCACUGUCUCCCCGAACCAGUGACCGUGGCUUCUCCUUCCUCUGAGAGGUCAGAGUUAGAUCCUGGCUCAAGUUUGAUGCUUUUAAAAAAAAUCACUUAUUCUAAAAUGCUUUAAUUAAAGGCAUUUGACAACUCUUCGGAGAAUGAGAAUUCAAGUGAAUUUCCAAUCUCGAGCUCACUGGGCUGAGCUAACCAAUUCUGGUUUCAUGCACUAUUUCCACAAAGUGGUUAAAUUAUGAUUCAGCUUUACUUGGUGGGCUUUAGAGCCGCCGUGUUAAUGGGAACGAAGUCCCAGCUGCCGUCGGAGGUAAUUAGAUGGGGAGAAAUCAGCCAGGCUAUUUUGGGGUUGGCCAAAUAUUUUGAAUAUGUGUUAAACAGUGAUAAUCAACUUUAUCUUAAUUGCCUCUGCAUUAAGUUAACAGGUGAUUAAUAUUAUGCAUAUAAAAUUUUGCUCAGCGAAAGAUCAUGACAAGAAGAAUUUAGGAAAUCACUAUGGAGGAGGGAAGGAGCCCGGGUUGUUGCCACUGAGUCCUCUGCAAAAUCACAUUCUUGAUCUUGUACCUGACCUCAGGAGGCCCCUGACGUAUGUCCUGGGCUCUGGGCAGCAUCUUCAUGAAGGCUCUCUUUCCUCCCACGUCCCUGCCCUAUCCCAGAUCUGCCUCUCCAUGCUGGGCCCAGCCCCAGCAACACCAUAACCCACCCCCUUCCUAUGAAAACCACCUGUGUGUCUCUGCUCGUUUAGGGGGCUCCUCUAUCCGAGCAGUAUCAGGGGAGGGUCUUCCUGUGCCAUCACCCAAAUACCUGGGGAUGGCCUCAACACGGAAUGACAGCUAAGAAUGAUCGAGAGGCUGUGGAGAGCUCGGACACUCACGCACGCAAUUACGAGCGGAAACGUGUCCCAGAGCCUGUUCCGCUGCCUCCCAAAGGAGAGGGCAGACUGCCCAGCCUGUCAUGGGCCACGCCAGUGCUGGCUCAGGCCUGUCAAUGUCCUCAGUCCUACUGUGGGAUCCCACCACCCCUGUGCUUAGAAGGUUCUGACUGGAAGGAGAGCUUCCCUGGAGCAGAUUUCACACCACUUGCUGGGAGCUUCUCGAUUGCUUUGCCUGCAGUUGUUUGGAUGUCAGACUUAAAGACAUAAAAUUUGUCAACUAUGUAUUUGUGGGCCUGCUACUGGUGGGGCAGAGCUCCUCCAGGCUAGAGUUGUUGGACCCCGAGGAGCAGAACCCACCUUGUCCCGUUUGCUGUGGCCUGAAUGCUUGUCACUCCAAAUUCAUAUUUGGAAAUGCACACAGCUGUGAUAACUAGGAGGUGGGGCCUCAGAGGUGACUGACCCUGAUGUGGCUUCCUGAGUGGGAUUAACGCCCUUUGAUAAAUAGCCCUGGGAGCUCAUCCUCUUCUUCUGCCACAUGAGGGCACCGUGGUAAGAACAGGCCUGUGACCUAGAAAGGGGUCCUCACAGGACACUGAAUCUGCUGGUGCCCUGGUCUUGGGCUCCCUCACUACAGAGAUGUGAGAAGUAAAUUUCUGUUGCUUAUAAGUUGCCCCUAUUACAUGGGUGUUUUGGUAUUUCGAUAUAGUCAUUUGAACAAACUAAAACACCUUUUUUCAUGAGUGCUUAGAAAUGGGAAAAGAAUAGUUUUUUUUUCAAUAAAUGUUGUGGGAUAACUUAAUGAUCACAUGCAAAAGAACAAAAUUGGACCCUGGGCUGGAUUUGUGGCUCAGUGAUAGAGCACUUGCCUAGCACAUGUGAGGCACUGGGUUCCAUCUUUAGCACCAUAUAAAAUAAAUAAAUAAAGUUAUUCUGUAAAAAAAAAAUGGAUCAAACAUAAAACUCAACAUAAAAUGGAUUACAGACCUAAACGUAAGACCCAGAUCUGUAAAACUCCUGGAAGAAAACAGGAAAGCUCUUUGAGGUGGACCUUGGCCACGGUGCCAUGGUGUUUGGUAUUCACACCCCAAACUCAGGCAACAAAAGAAGGGCAGGUGGGACCACAUCAAACCCAGAAGCUUUGUCAAACAAACAGCCAACAAGUCCAGCGGCUUCCCAUGGGCUGGAGAGGACGUUGGCUAGCCACGUUCUGAUCAGGAGGUGACCCAGGAUAUGAAAGGAGCUCCCGCAACUCACGGCAGAAAACCCAGGUAGCCUGAUUAAAAAAUGGGCAAAGGACCUGAAUAGAUGUUUUCUCAAAGGAGACGUGAAAAUGCCCAACCGGUCCGCGGAAAGGUGCUCCACGCCACUGGUCAUUAGGGAAAGGCAAAUUGAAACCACUGUCAGGCAUCGCCUCACCCUGGAGAGUGGUGACUCUGGAAACAGAGAUAACAAAGGUGGAGAGGGUGUGGGGGGAGGGAGCCUUGUGCUGAGAGGGAGCAGCGUGGAGGCACCUCACAGAGUCCAAGGGAGCCACAUAUGGCCUCUACUGCACCUAGAGCUGGGGGACCCAUCACCUCAAUGAGGUAGCUGAGCUACGUGUUCACGGAAGCACUUUUCACAGUAGCCAAGACAUGGACACGACCCAGGUGCCCAUAGGCAGCUUUAGAAGAGCAGAUCCUGCCAUCCCCACAGGUGGGGAUGUGGAGGCCCUCAAGGACACUACGGUAUUUGAAAUGAGCCGGGUGUAGAAGAUGACACUGCAUGACUUCAAUCCUUGCUGGAAUCAAAAGAAAGUAGAGCUGGGCACGGUGGCGCACACCUGUAAUCCCAGCAGCUCCGGAGGCUGAGGCAGGAGGAUCUUGAGUUCAAAGCCAGCCUCAGGAAUAUAGUGAGGCCCCAAGCAACUCAGUGAGACCCCGUCUCUAAAUAAAACACAAAAUACGGCCAGGAAGCUGCCAGGGCACAAGGAGGAAAAGUGCUAACAUACCAGGACUAGGACGGCCCUGUGAGCUGUCACGGGGAGUCCUGUGGUUAUGUUCUCAGCUUUGGCCAGGUCAGGGGGAGAGAGACAAAGGCUAUCAUGGGCAGCCCUGGGGCAGAGCCAUAGGCAGGCAGUGCCACUUCAGUCUCUCCCCUCCACCUUUCCAGUGGGCUUCAAUGAGAAGGAAGCUCUGGGCUCCUCUCAAUCAAAAGAUGAACACAACCUGUCUAUCCAGGUUGUCUAUCCUGUGCUCCUGCCCCCGCCUGUGGCUCUCGGGUGGCUUGCACCCAGUGGCCAUGUCAAGUAGAAGUCUGACGGUCGAGGUCUUAUCCCUUCUCCCCCACUUCUGGGCAGACUAGGAGCAGAGUUAAUUCAUAAUAUGAAAUGUUUGUUAUGCAAAUUAACUGUCAGCUCUUGUUUGCCAACAUGGCAAGUCUUAUUUGUUUCUAUUAUAAAACCAAAUCCCUAAAACUCUGAGUUCUUAAUAUUUUGAAAUUUCAAUUUCUGUGCUGCGAUCGUAUCUGUGUCUGCAGUGGAGUCUGCGUGCGGAGACUUGCUGAUGGAAGCAGAGAGCCUCUUCAAGGGGGGAGAGGUCCUUAAACCUCCGCAGGAGUCUGAUGCGGUUAUUUCUUGAGAAGAGUCAUUUCCCUCAGUGCGCUGGAGGGGCGUGGCUGCAGUGCAAAGGCCCUUGGAGGAGCCCGCCUGCACUUCCCUGGGCCAGGCCAAGCUCCAAUGGCGACCUGCGCUAGGUCUUGAGGUUCUGAAAGUCCUCGAGGUCCCUGAUGGGUGAGCCAUGGAGGCCAGUGAUCUCGAGGCAUGUGUUUGAAUAAUGUUUGUAAAUUUUAAAUUAUACUUUGGGCCAGAUAAAUGUACCUAUUCAACCUCAUGGAAAAGCUGUAGGGAUAAUCAGGGGUUGCUUCCAGAGUCUUUGAGCAGGACUUUGGGGCGCACUGUCUCCUCAGCCUCUCAGGACUACAGCUGAGCAGCCUCUCCCCGGGCAAUGAGGUGGGGUUCACAGAGGACGUCAGCACACAGUGCCAGGGAAGGAGGGGCUGCUGCCCUGAGGACCUGACCACGAUGGAAAGGCGGGACCCUGGGACCCAGGUGGCCUGACAGCUGUGUAGCCACCUGCAGGGUCCUUGGGACAGUCUCCCUGCCCCAUCACUUCCAGCCAUUGGCUCCAGUGCUGCUUAAGCUGAUUCAUCUGGUGUCCUCACCAGGCUGACAGUGUCUGGGGGUUAGAGGAGAGGCAGGUGCAGGGUCCAUGAAGAAGGUGUGGGUACCUGCAGGAGGGAGCCUCUAGGUUGCUUCCUGGUGGGCAUGCCAUCUGUCCCCAUCUCCCUCCAGGUACCUCAGGGAUGGACCAUGGCAGGGGCUCAGUCCUUGUGAGUGGCCCACGGAUGCAUGUAGCUGGCUUCAGUCUCUGGGCUGUCUCUCCACAGGGGAGCCCAGGACCCAAUGGACUGUUAACUACAAAAGUGGGAGUUCCUAGGAGGCCCUGCAGUGAGGUCUGUUUGACAGUCGAGUGUCCUCUUUGUGAUUUUGCCUGUCACUCUUUAGCAACAGCAGAGCCAAUCCCUAUCUCCCAAGCAUGCUUAAUCACCAGCAGGGUCAGGAGGCGCCAUGAGUUCAAGGCCUUCCAUGGUAGAGGGGGAGUGAGUGGGGUGACAGCAGAGAGAGGCACAAGACAGAGCCAAGCUGAGGGAGUCCACAGCACACAGCUCAGGAGACUGGCUCGUGAGGCCAGGUAGGCGCCUGAGGCACUCACUGCCGUGACCAGUGUGGCCAAACUAGCAGGUUCAGGCGAGGGGUAAUGGGAGAUUAGAAAAAUAGAGACUCAUGUACUCAGAUUUUGAAGAUAACUGCUGGGAUUGGGUGGAGCGCUGCUCUGAUGGAGAAGAAGGUCUAAAGAAUUACACCAGCAAUCUUUGUUUAUAGAUCUCAUUAAUCAGAUUAAAGACUCUGCAAGCACAAUCCUUUGUAUUCAUGAAAGUCACAGAGUUAGCAACAUCAUGCAGCUUAUUCCUCAGUUACAUUCUACAAUUGCAAUGUGCAAUGUUAGGAGCUUCGUGUAGCUCUCAGGAAAGUCCAUUGUUUAAAGUUAGUCAUGCAGGCAGGUUCAGGAGCAGCAGAGCCAGCGGGUGAAACAUUGCGGUUGUCUAGCAAGGGAGCUCCUCUAUGCCUGGGAGCUGAGUGCCUGAGAUCAAGGUGGAGGCUGAUAAGACUCUAGCUCAGAGCCUCCUCAUGCAGGGCAUUGCCAUAGCAACUAGACAUCCUGCACCUUUGCACAGAAACUUUCCCAGGCACCAAGCAUCAUGCCACAGCCACGAGGUCAUCAAGGGCCCCAAUGUCAGACACUGCUCCCCCAUUCACUGUGACUGCUUUCCACAACUCACUGCCCAGCUGUGCAUCAGCCUGCUUUGCAUGUGUCCUGAGGGUCCUUUUGUCUUGCUCUGUCCCACCCCCAUGAGGCAGGCCACGAUGUUUUCUCCUUUUGAUCCAGUGGGGACACACAGAUAGGUGAGCCCUGCUAGAGGUCAUUCAGCUGACAGUGGGAGAGGCAGGACUUCGUGGGGUCCCACCUGCCCACGCCCCAGUUCUCCAUUCCUAAGCCAGAGAAAGAUGGGGUCUGGAUCACGUGGGGUCUGGAUUCAGGAGAAUCUGGCCUCUUCUUGUGAGGUGAGGAUGCCUAGGCCCCUCACCAUUGUGAGUGUCUCCUCGAGAUGGGUGGGACUAGACCAGGACAAAGGCCUGGAGCCCUGGGCUCCCGCUGGGUGGUGGGUGAUCUCCAGGUAACUCUCAGCUCUCAGUCAGUCAUGAAUGCGAGUUUUAACCUCUGGCCUCUGUGUUGUUACCAAUGGAAGAGUAAUGUGUUGGUGGGAGGGAACAUGGGCUAGACAUGGUGACCUCAGAGCACAUUGACAUCCACUCUGCCUCUGUUGCUAGCCUACAAAUCUGCCCCUGUUAUCACGUAAGUAGGGUCCCCCUUGCUAGCAUUUAGCAGUGGCCUUUGGAGGAUUUCACACAAAGCAGACAUGGAUCUUGGGCUCUGCUUUGUGGCCUGUGAGCAGGGGCCCAGGGCCAGGGUGUGACAGCUUGUGGAGGUUGCUGCUGCUUCUCUCCUGCCCCUGAUUUCCCAUGGUGGCCACCUGAUGCACCCUGUGGCCAGCCCUGAGGAGGCCAGGGAAAAUGGGCAGCAGUGAGGGGUGGUGUUCCUCCCACCAAGAGGGCAGGGAUUCUGAAGACACAGCUUGGGGAGGGAGGGUCCUCUGUCCAGUGUGGGGUGGGUGCUUCCUUCUCCUACCACCCAUCUGCAGAGCCUGGCCCUCAGGCUCCUGAAGGGCAGGCACAGAACUCACGGUAGACCUAGGAUGCUGGUGGCCACCUGCUCAGCCCAUGGCAGACCAGCCCCCAGCGGCAACACAUGUUGGUCUUUGGAGUCAGGACAAGGGAGGGACGGAUGAGAUUCUAGGAUUUGGGCUCCUGGUCUAGUUUGGAAGACCGAUUACCUUAGACUGAGCUUGUCUGGGCUUGGAGUAGCUUCCUUGGUAGCAAGUGUCCUAGAGGGAGGAGGGACCCUAGGAUCUAGCACCCUUCCUCUGAGACCCUGCAUGAGCUCCCUGGCCUCCUGACCUCUCUCUUGUCCCUUUGCAGACACUCACUCUGCCUCCCUGUGAGCAGGAGCCACUGACCUGCAGGCUCAGGCCUGCGUGGAGGGACAGACAGAGGGAAGCCAGGGCUGGGUGUGUCUCUGGCUCCACAGAGCCAGAUGAGACAGGCCGACUUUCAGCAGGCCAGUGUCUGCGUCCUUGCGGGCCUGGGAGGGCUCAUCCAGCUUGUGCCAGACCCUUCUAUCAGGGGAACAAUAAGCCCUCAUGUGUGCUCAGCACACCAGCAGGUCCCUUAUUCAAUACAUGGUGCCAGCUCUUCCUCUGACUAGGCGCUGGUCCAGGCCUUGAGGACAGACCAACCAGCAAGGCAGGCCACCGAGGUCUCCCAAGAGCUGGGCAGCAGAUGGCAUUCUAGUCCAGAUGGUGACCCCAGCUGCUCAUACAGAUAAACCACAAAGCCUCACCCAAUAAAAGUGUAUUUCUCACCCUGCCACUGCCCUGUGUAUUGGGGGGCUGCUCCAUGUGGUCAUCCAGGGCCCCAGGCACUGUCCAUUGUGGAGGUAGUCAGUGUAACUCAUCAGAGAAGGAGUGGAAUGGAGUCGCGAUCACUGGGGGGUUAGGGUAGAGCCUGGAAGUAGAGGCCCCCUGAGAACGGGCGGAACAGACCACAGGGCCCACUCCAUCCAGGCCUCAGGACGCAGAGAGCACAGGGAUGGCCUAGAGCAGUCAGCACUGCCCUGUGACCCUCACUGGCCCAUGAGAGGUGACUGACUCGUAGCUGCUCUGUGACUGCCUAUUGUUGAAUGGCAGGAGAGAGCAGAACACCAGGCCUUGGGUUCCUCCAGAAUGUGGGUGGAGGCCUGGCAAGGUCUAGGGGCUCUCAGGACAAACAAGCCACUGCAGGGAGAGAGCAGGCAGGGCCCACGGUGACACCCCGCCAGGCAGGACAGAGCCGGGCACAGGGGGAAGGGCCAGUCUCUGUCCUGGGCGAGGCAUCUUCUAUUCCAUCUCUGGAACGGCUCUGUACCACUGUACUUUUUUCUGUGUUUGUUUUAUUAUUUGAAAUUUUCUUUAGAAAUUUAACAGGCUUGGUAUGUUUCUUUGUUUCACUGUUUUCCUCUGUGCAUAGAUUACAUGCUUUCAGCAGCAUCUGCUGUGAAUUUUAAUUACGAUGCUCAACUCAAAGGGAGCCUCACAAAGCAGCCUGUGUCGUUAGCAGUCCAGGGCCAUGUUGACGGCACAGACGGAGGUUGCAAAGUGCGUCAGGAGACUUGGAAGCCAGACAAAGGAAAUACAAUCCAACAGUCCUCCCCUUGUCUCACCGCCUCCUUGUUAAGAGGACUCUGUAGCAAGGGACAGCUAUGCAUAAAAUCACAUUUGGUUUAUGUUUUUAGCCAACAGUCGUCUUUUGGUUCUUUAAGGCAGCAUCACAGAACCUCAGCACCUUUUAAAGUAGCAAUUGUGGGAUUUGUAGUUGGACAGAAUGAAAAGCGCCUUUCUGUGUUUGGCUUCUUCAAGCUGCAAAAAAUAAGCUUAUAAAAUGUCACAGAACCGGGCUGCCGCUACUUCUGAAGACUUCUGGUUUGGUGCACGUGGUCCCUUGUGGUUUGCCCUGCCAUUGCCAGGGGCAGAUCUGUGCAUAGGCUGGAGCAUCCUGCUCCUCUGGCUGAGUCAGGCCAGGCUGCUGGUCCACCAGGUCUGGGUCCAGUUCUGCUGGACAUUGGCGGCCUGCCGUGGAGCCCAUUCUCGACAGAGCAGAUGUGUCUCCUAUCCUUGUCGUAUGAGCAGCAUCAUGACUACAUUCUAUUUCAGAAGCAAAUUGUACUGAUCGUAAACUGUAAUUAUGUGGUAAUUAUUUGGCUGCCACUGUAAGUAUCUGGGAGCUGCAAUUUCCUUACACAGUGGAAAUCGUAUCUCCUGGAGCCCUCUCGCCAGGCUGGCCCUGGGUACCUGGGCUUCCAGGAGGAGGUCUCAGGUCCUGCCACCUGAUGCUCUGUGAACGCGUCCUGGAGGGCAGGAGCAAACCACAGCACUGUCUGGGCUUGGGCACCCCAUCUGUGCAGGGAUGCGGCUGAUCCUGAUGCUGCGGUCCGGUAUUUGCCUCUGGGGGUUGGUACUGUACUGGCACUGCUACAAGCCUGGCUAGAGCAAGUGUUAGGGAAUAUUUAUCAAAUGGCAUUUGACUUUCUGCUGGGCACAUCUUAGCCAGGGCACCAAUGCCCAGUUCCAGCUCUGGAUAAAAAUAUACCUGACACAGGCACUGUCUAGCCCUCGGGUCAUAAAGGACAGUGCCCCCAGGCAGGGCUGGGUGGGUGCCAGUCAUCUUUGCUGAUCCUGCCAACCUCCUAUGGGGCUGUGCCUCCUUUACCUAAUGAGAUUGGAUACCUGCCAGGUCUUUUGCACAGGGACUUAUCAUGGUAAGAAGGCUCAGUGCAGGUUAGUGUCCUACAUUCCUGGCCUGAGACAGGGCAGGGGUUGGCAUCCAUGGCCGUCUACCUCAGGGCCCAAGUGGGUGGUGACCUUGCCUCUCUGCCUUCUAGGGAUCGGGACUCUGAUCUUUGGGAUCAUCCAUCUCCAGGGACAGCAAGCCCUCAUUGCAUUGUCCCUGGCUCUUUUCUGUGGCCCCUUUGCUCCUCUGGGCCUUAGUGUUUCUGCCUUGCUGGUGCUGGAGGGCAGCGGGAGGACCUCUGGAGUUGAGGGAUGCUGUGUUAUUUCCUCCCUGACUUUUGCCACUGGAAUUGUUCUUGGGACUCCAGGCAUGCGAUCCGUUAUGAAGACCUGGUCUCUGUUCUCCCUAGGUGUCCUGCCUCCCCCUUGUAAGUCCUGCUUUGUGACUGAAGACACAGCUCUCUCUUUGACCCAGAGGAAGAGCCUGGUGGAGGGAGGCCCACAUGUGAUGAUCAUCUUGCUUCGAGAAGGGCGCUUUAUAGGUUUGGUGAGUAAGUUUUGACAUUUAUCUCUCAGGGCUGCUCCUCAAGAUGGGAAGGAAUGAGGCAGGGGGGAUUUGGUUGGUCUAUGCCUGGAAGCCAGGGAAACAUUGAGCGAUUGAUUGGUCCCCUGACACCACAGAGAGGGGUCCGGUCCUCAGGUUUGCUGAGCUGCAGCGCACGGGAGCUUGGUCUUCCCUGUGGGAGAUGGCAGCCCUGUGCCUCUUUCAGAGUGGGACACCUCCCGGGGGACCAUUCAAGCACGGUGGGCAAGGACAGGCCAGCCCCCAUCAGGCAUGGGCUGCCAUGGAGCUGGCUGAGUUGCUGGGGAGGGCACAGGUUGCACACUGACGGGGCUGCUGGCACUGACCUGUGCUGUGCUGCCAGUCCGGCUUCCUUCAUGCUUAGUCUCUGGGCCUGUUUCCACCCCGGGCUGGCCUGUGGCUGCCAGACCUGGCCCAGGAGAGCCAGCACUCAGAGGAACGCAGCUGCUCCCGAGCAGGUGCCCAGAUUGGAAGGCCCAGCUGGCCUCUUCCUCUCCGUGCUUGCAAGGCGGCUUCUCAGGGCUCCCUGGCCAGUGUCAUGGGGGAAUCUACGUAGGCAGCUGCUCCGAUGUUUCAGGAUGGAAUAAAGGAGACCCGGUCUGGCUGUUGAGCUGAGGUGCAGUCACGGCCCCCGCUGCCUGAUAGCCACCUGUGGUUGUGAGGCAGGCCCUUGGAGGACCCUUCCCCACACUGCCGUGCACAGGCCUUCGUGGCUCAGGCAUCCACAGCACCACGGCAACAAAGCAGGAGUUGUGCCAGUGCUUGACCCCAGGCCCUGCGGCUGACCGUGAGCGUCCAUCAAGGACAAGGGGUCAUUUGGAAAAAUCAGUCCAUCCACUGAAGUGUAGACGGCAUGCUCACGUUGUCUCGAUCAAUAACACACUAGACCUGGUGUGGAACGUCACAUCCUGAGAAAUUGUCUUAGCAAUUAGAGUUAUGGUCACUGGAAAUUGAAAGUGUGUGUGUGUGUGUGUGUGUGGUAUAUGGUGUGUUUGUGAUAUGAGUGUGGUUGUAUGUUGUGUGUAGUUUGUGUGUGCAUGUGUGGUGUGUAUGGUGUGUGCAGUGUGUGUGUAUGGUGUGUGCAGUGUGGGUGUGUGUGGUGUGUGUGUGCAGUAUGUGUGUAUGGUGUGUGGAGUGUUGUGUGAUGUGUCUAGUUGUAUGUGUGGGUGGUGUGCAGUGUGUGCGUGUGUGUGGUUCAUAUACACAGGAUCAAUAUCCUGUGCGGAGGAGUGUGGUGGGUGAGGAAGAGCACAAUUUCCAGCAUUGCUCUUACCUUGGGGUAAACCCCGGGAGAAGCGCAGGAUGCAGCUCUGGGAAGAGGGCAGACACAUGAGCACCUUUCCUGGUUGCUAGAGAAGAGCCAGCAUCUGCAGGUGGAGAACGGCAGUGGGGGGCAGAAGGCCUGGCUGCCUGGAUCCAUCUAGUGCAUGGACGUCUGAGGCACCAGUUUCACUUUAAAAAUGCUAGUGUCACUGGGCACAGUUGCACAUGCCUGCAAUCCCAUAGCUUGGGAGGUGGAGGCAGGAGGAUCAAGGGUUCAAAGCCAACCUCAGCAAGGCCCUAAGCAACCCAGCGGGACCCUGUCUCAAAAUAAAAUAAGAAAAGGGCUGGGGUGUGGCUCAGUGGUUAGGUGCCCCUGGGUUCAAUCCCUGGUACCUAAAUAAAUAAAUAGAUGCUGGUGUCGACAAUGUGCCAGAAUCUAUACCCCAUUCCAGUCUUUGAGUACCAACACCUGACAGGUGGCCUCAGUCUGCAGACCUGGGAUCAGGUCGCUCACGAGGACAGAGACAUAGUGCCUACAUGCAGGGUCCAGGUGCUGGCACCUGGCCAGGCCUCCUUGCAGGUGGUCCCAUGGUGGAAGGCGAGGCUGUGUGUGGGAACAGGAGGGGGUACUGGCCCUUUGGUCAGGAGGUAUGGCCCUCAAAGCCUCAUUACCUCUCGAAGGUCCCGCCUCUUGAUACUGUUAGACAGGAACUGAAUUUCAGUGCUGACUAUGGAGGGAACAAGUGUCCCAGUCAUACCAGGGUCAAUUUGCAGACUCUAAGGGCUCUGAGGUCCCACAGUCCCCACUGCUUCAGCCUGACUGAGAGGUGCAGAAGGUGGAAGUAGGAUCAGAAUGCACCACAGUGAACUUGAUGUGGUUAAUUGUUUAUUUUAAAAUUUUAGACUAGGGGCUGGGGAUGUGGCUCAAGCAGUAAACGUGCUCGCCUGGCAUGCGCAGGGCGCUGGGUUCGAUCUUCAGCACCACAUAAAAUGAAAAAUAAAGAUGUUGUGUCCACCAAAAACUGAAAAAUAAAUAUUAAAAAAUUCUCUCUCUCUCUCUCUCACUCUUUAAAAAAAAAUUAGACUAGUUUCAAGUUUACAGAAAGUUUACAAAGAUGUAGAAUGUUCCAGGGUCCCUCAGUCCCUUUCCCUGUUGACAUCUUACACUUCUGCACUCAUACCUUGUCGUUAAUUAAGUCCACACUUUGUUCAUGGGUCCUUAGUUCUUGUGCUAAGGAACCAUGAACAACGGAGCCCACAUUGCAUCCGGCCACCAUGCUCCUCGGCUUCCUGGGCUGUGGAGAUCCUUGGACCUUCCUUGCUCUUGAAGACUUUGAUGGCUGAGGGGUUUGGAGCAGGGAUUUUGCAGUGUCUCUCAGCUGGGAUUUUUCUGAGGCUUUUCUCAUGUGGGACUGGGGUUGUGGGUUUGGGGAGGAAGACCACAGAGGUAGAGUGACAGUACUUCACAUUGAGGUAAGGGUUGACCCUGUCAGCUUGACUGACCAUUGCUGCUGUUGACCUUGAUCACCUAGCCAAGGUAGUGCUUGCCAGAUUCUCCAACCUGUGCUCCUUCAUGGGCUGCAUAUCUAAUGGAGGAGAUAGAAGUGCCAGUUCUGUAGCCUUCUAGGGCUCUGGACUCACAGGGUGGCCAGAUGCCCAGCAUCACCAGGAGGGACCCCGUGUCCUCCUGUGCUGGGCUGAGGAACUGCCAAAAAAAAUCCAGGGGAAAUAACCUUCUUGUAAGAAUGUGUCUGGCACAGUGAGGAGUGUCCCUGAAGCCCUCCUGUAUCUCUACUUUGGUCACUGCUGAUGGACCAGCAGGACCACUCGUCCUGCCUGGCUGGGCCCAUGGAUCUACCUCCACCCUUAGGAGCAGUGACUUCCAGUAUAGCAAAGAGAUGCCAAGUGGGGAACUGUUGGUAACGUUCCCAGUGAAACUCAGAGUAUUUUGGGAUUCUGCUUGGGAAACAUCUUCCAUUCAAGUUUCUACUUGAAGAGUGUGUGUUUGCAAAGAAAAUGUGCAAGGAACCAUUUCCUUGUGACUGAGUACAAAGCAAGACUAUUUUUAUCAAACUAUUUUCACACCACGCCCUUACAGCUAAGAGGGCCUAAAUUUUGAAGGAGGCGUCUUAUGCUACAAACGUCUUCCUGCAGGAGCCUGGGGCAAUGGGGACCCCUUCUCGCUAGCCCCAAUAACUCGCCCAACAUUUUGUGGACAGGAGACCCACUCACCUUUAUGUCCACGCUCUUCCAUCUGGAGCACUAAGCUACCUUCAAGGGCCCACGUCAGUCCGCCAGCAGGAAAGGUGGGCCGUGGCUCCUCAGGUCUCCCAGGUAAUGUGGACAUUCUGGCAGGUUUGUGAAAGAUCAGUUGCUUCUUUGUUGCUAUAUUUCAUGUUAAUUGUAUUUUUUCCCCCAAAGUGUGUGGGGGAGGCAAGCAGACUUGAAGUUAGAGGGUUUGAAAAAAUAACUGAUUAAAAGAAGCCCAACCCUCCCAGCCUCCUGGAGGCCGGGUGUGCACUGGUUAGAGCUGUGAAUGCUGGGAGCCCAGUCCUGUGGAAGUAUUGAGGAUCCUAGAAACCACCGGACUUCACACCAACUCAUUUUUUCCCCAUGGUGCUGGGGAGUGAACCCAGGGCUUUGUGCAUGCGAGGCAAGCACACAAGCUCAUUUUUGACAUGGACUUCGUUAGGACUGAUUCCCAUUGAGAUGGCUUAACUUUACAGGCUUCGUAAUGUAGCAAAGUAGCGUUGUCAUCCUGCAGCCUGUCCGGUGUCACGUUUGUUUCCCAGUGUUGUAACCUAAACACUAUUUGAACCCCCCCCCUCCCCCCAUAGUUGUGCGGCUGCGCAGUCAUGUGCCUGGGUGCCUCUGCUCCAUUGGAGUCUCGUCCAGGAGCAGGCAAUUGCUUGUGACAGCUGGAAUUUUCCUCAGUCCCGUGGGAGAAAGGAUCCAGUAUUUUAUUGUUAUUAACCUCCUGUUAUUAAGUUCUCAACACUGUUGUGCAGCUCAUCUGAGACUUCUCACUUGUGAAUAUUAAGUGGUGUUCUCAUUGAGGACAUAUUUCCCUUUUUGUGUGCAUUAUGAAAUUCCACAUCCUGAGCAGCUGGGGGAGUGAAAGUGGCAGUCGGGGUCCUCAGAGGAGACCAGAGUGUGGUCCAGACUAUCUGCAAGGGUGUGGGUGUCUACAAGAUCUGUUGGGCUAAAGGCUGUCUUGUCCCCCAGAGCCCCAUGGUUAGGGCAGUGGGGACUCCUUUGGGUGGUGCAAGUGGAGGGAGCAGAGGGAGACAGUGAGGGCCUUAGCAAGAACAGGUGUGUGUGUGUGUGAAGCUGAAGUGCAGUGACAGGACAGUCACUGUGUGCGCUUUCCCCCUGUGUGCUCUGUGGGCCUUGGAUUCUGCUUCUGAGCCCCUCCUGCAGCCCAAGUAGGGUCACAGUCCUGCCAGCAAGGGGCAUGGGCACUCAGGACGGGCAUGCAGGAGGGAGAGUGCUUCCCGGCCCCUCCACCUGCCGCCGUGGAAAGCACUUCCUCACAUUCUGUCGGGACUGGGACUGGAGGACACUGCUAAGCCUCAUCGAAAGGGGACCUGGGAAAGACGUGGUAAAGGUCAUUCCCAUUACCAUAUCUUUUUCUAUUUCGGUAACACAAAGACAUCUUACAUUUUUCAGUUGCUAAACUAUAAAUCUUAUAAUCCCCACAAAACCCAAGUCUCCACUGCUCUCUAAGUACAAGGCUGCAGGAGGUGUAUAGGGCCUGGGUACCAGUGUGCAUGCUACCAGGAUGGGGCAUCAGGGAGCUGGUGCAAUUCAGAGUACAUCUGCGACUGCUGGUCUGGGUCAGCAGCAGAGCCCCUGCCUUAGGAUGACCACCCAGCUGGGUCUGCUGGGCUGUGGAUCCUUCCUCUGAUUAAUCUAGGAAACCAUGAUUGCAAAGCCUUGGAGGGAACAAUUGCUAUAGGGUCCCAAACACAUUGGGGUUGUAAGAAGAAUUCAUUGUAACCUCACUCUGAUGUGGAUGAAUAAUAUGAGAGAGAGAGAGAGAGAGAGAGAGAGAGAGAGAGAGAGAUCCUAUCAUUUUCUGUUCUCUCUGAGAACACCAGCAACUUAAUUAUAAAAAAUCAAGCAAAGAGAAACAGGUAUCAUUGUAAAACAUCAAUUGAUUGAUUGGUCAAUUUGUUUGUUCAUUUGUUCUCCAAAUGUUCGUCACAUCUCUCCUAUAGGUCAGGCUCUGUGCUUGCACAAGGAUAACAAGAUUAGCACGACAGAUGUGGUCCCUGCCAUAUCCGAGCUCUAUCCACUGGGGGAAGCUAGACAUUAAAAUCAAGUAAUUGUAUAAAUCACAGUUUAAUUAUAGUUGGAAUAAGUGUGACAGAGGAAAGCACCGUGAAGAUAGAAUGGGGAGCUGUAAUGUCAUUCUGACCACUAGGCACCCUGAGGACCACGUUGGGCAAGGUCCCACAACACCUGAGAGCAGCUGAAUCCAGGGUUCUGGGGACAGUUUUUACCUGGUCAUCAGGCACAGUAGCUGAGAGACAGGUGCUCCGAGUGUCUGUCUUAGGGUACUGUGGUUUUGCCUGGAUGUGUCCCUGGGGUUGCAUGACAAUCUACCUGCUUGCCAACAUGGCCCUUGGGCAUCUCCUGAGUAAGUGGUACAUGGAGUUGUGCUGAGAGAGUGAGCUCUUCUAGACCAUCUCAUCACCUUGAUGCUGAACCUGUGUCCCUGGAGAGCACCACAUACUCAGGAAAUAACACUGAGUCCAAGAUUCUCUCUAAAAAUAAAUACUAGCUGAUUGCCACCUGCUUCAAAAUCAUAGUUAUAAAGUUAGAGCAGUAAGAACAUUUAUUUCCAUAGCAAUUUCUUUUGGAAAAUAAUCUGAGAAGGUUCUCAUCCUAUGAAAAGUGGGGCUCUAUGAAAAGUGGGGCUGUACUUGAAUUUGCCCUAGGAAGGAAGCCUGGGGGCUCCAAACGAGGGGCUGGUAGCUGACAGGUGGAGAGCAUCUGGGGCCUGGAGGCUACUGGGUCCUCACCUUAUGAGAAGCAGAGCCUCUUGGGUUGGGAAGAUGGCUCUUGGCUACCAGCCCUCUCCCAAAGUGAUAGGGGGUCUGCUGCUUUUUCUGGAAGAACCAGAAACAUUUUAAAGCACAUUCUAAUCAACAGAUGAGUUGAUUUUUCAUUUUAGAGAACAGCACAGUAGUGGGGAGUGUUUAGAAGCUGGAAGGACUUGAGGUCCUUGCCUGCACUUCUCUCCUCUCAUGAGAGAGCUGAGAAAAAAUGCUGGGGAGUGGUCCAGAUGUUUCCUUGCAGGCCCAGCUGGCGUCCCUUUUCCACUGUGCACAAAGAUUUUGUCACUUCCUUCUAAAAAACCCCUCUCUUUUCUAUUUUUAAGUGAAUUUAAAUCUGACUUUUCUGCAGGGAAAAGCACAACAGAUUGACACCCCUGGUGGCAGGUAGGGGACCUCUAAGGAAGUCCCUCCCGAGCUGCUCUGUCCAGCCAGGCCCCGGCAGCGUGUCUCCCCUCCUGGAGGCCUGGGCUGGUCACUGCAUGCUUGCUGGGGCACUAGGGGCACAGGUACAUGCUGGGCCUUGGUGGCCACCUCGUUGGCUAUGUGGAGAGAGACACUUGCAGAACCAGCAGAUGAGUGCAUGGCACACAGGCCUGGCAUGCUGUGCUGGUCUGGCUGCCCACUUCUGCAGAUGCCUCCUGUUCCGUCUCAGUAACACACCUGUGGGAGGUUGGAAAGGGAGUCUAGGGUCAUGUGCUUAAAAUGUGUGUUUUUUGCCUUGACAAUAGAAAGGAGAUCUUGAGUCUAACCCAAGUGUAAAUAGAGCUUUGGGUGCACGACAGUUAAGCAGUCAACGCCACCAUCCCUGCCUCCUAGGGCCAUGGCCAGCGUUCCUUGCCCAUCCUUCCCUGCAUCCAUUUCAGCACAGGUGACAGGGAGCCAACUGCUGACACCAGGAGCCUCUGCCCACAGCUGGUCCGUGUGUUAGUCCUGGCAGCCAUUAUCCACCACCAAGUGCAGCCCACGCUUCCUGCCUGCUGUCUCCCAUCAACCCUGGCCCUGCGGCACUCUUAAAACAGGCUCUGGACAUGGUGACCAGACCUGGGCACUGUCCUGCUGGAACCAUUAGUGUCUGGGACUGCUCUGGUGGACUGCAGACACGGCCCAGGAGGCCCUGCCCUCCCCAGCCCUCUGCCUGCUGGAUGCCCCUGGCCUCUCACUUUCCUCCUCCUCCGUCUGCAUCAGACUCCAGUCCCAGCAGUUCUCCCUGCUCGGCUUCACUUGGGAGACUUCCUGUUCACUUUGCCCUCUGCUUGGAAGGCCUGGGGUUCAACAUGCCUGGCUCUGGCACGUCUGAAGGCACAGUGGGCUGCCUCUAGGAUGCACUCGCUCAGACAGAAUUUGCUGCUUUUGGUAGCUGCACAUCACCACCGAAGUCACGUCGCCUCAGAAGCAAGCGUUGGUCCCUCUCUGCCUCAUUCGGUAGGUCGUAAACGCACAUGAAGGAGUGUCGGGGCUUGUUUGCUGGUGUGUUCCCAGGCCCAGGGCCGUUCUGGACACAAGAGCUGCCCAAGAGCGGGCUGCGUGGUGGAAAGGCUAAGGAGCUGGGGGAGAUGCUGGCCAAGGCGACCCUGCACUCAAAUGCCUGUGUCCAGCACCCUCCUGCCACGCUCUCCUUCACUGUCUCACCCCUGGUGGAGUCGUCCUGCUCACUCAGGAGGCCGCGGGGCGAGAUGGUGGCUGGGCAUCUGUGCAGGCAUUUAGUGUGGCUUUGAGGACUCGGGGACACCCAUGGUGUGAUGAGGUCUCUGACACGUGCUGUUCCCUCCCUCCUCUCCUGGUGACCAUCAGGAGGAGAGUUUUCUUUUUAAAGUUUAUGGCCUCAGUGGUUCGAUCGCAGUUAUAGUGCCCCUAACAGCUGUUACUCCUUGCAACAGUGGAUCAGAAAUGAAGCUGAGCUCAGGCUUAAUGGAAAUUGUCCCUUGAAAGGUUUGAAUUCAGAGCAUUUAUUCUCCAUUAAUUUCAAGCAGACUCUAAAUUGAGCAAAACAGUUCCUGUCUUUCCUUUUAGUUGCAGGUUUUAGCUGACAAAUGGAUGCCAGGGCUGUCCAGCUUGAUUGCAGCCAUUGAGACAUGCCAAUUUCAGCAAAUGUGCUCAUCUCUGCGACUCACGUCCUUCCAGUUGGAGUCUGGGCUCCGCUGAGCGUGGUUGGUGUGGGAGUGUGGCGUUCACGGCGAAGCCCCCCCUGCUGAGGCAGACGGUGCACCUAAGUUGCUGAGCAGCACUGGGAGAGACCCAGGGAUGGCCAGGGAAGGGGUCAAGGGGCUCUGUGCUGAAUGGAGGAGGCCAUUUGGGCCAAAGAGUCCCACCCUGCACCCUGCUCCCACCCACAAAGGGCUCUCUCUCUUGCUGCACAGGGUAGUGUUGGGGCCAUUGGCAGCAUCAGGACUUCUCCACAGCAUGGUCUAGGUGGUCCCUGUCAGGGUUGGGGACAUGAAGCUGUUUCUGUCACACUGUUCAGGAGGGAGCAUGCAGCAUGCCAGCCAGUGCUUCAGGACCACAGAACACAGCUGGGACGUCGGGCUCUCUCUGUGCUGUGUGGGGACGUCUAACUGGACACUGGUGUGAGGCUUCCCACCCUGCUGGGGAAGGUCCACAGUGGUGGCUGGCAUUCUCCACUGGCGGAUUUCCCCCGCUAGCCUGUCCUUCUAACCCCUUCACCUUUGACCCAAGUACUAACAUCCGUCUUACCAGCUCAGAGGGGUCCAGGCAGAAAUGACUCGAUAUUUUCUGAUCACUCUCAGUGUGUGGCCCCGCUCUUGCCUCCUGAUGACAUCUUGGAGGAUUCCACAGGUUUCUGGUCACUUCUGUUCAGGAACAAGGCCAGGCAAAUCCACCCUGAACUCCAGUCUCUUCUUCUUCCCUGCCCUGUGAGACUUUAGAGACUUACAGCGAGGAAGGUGGGGUUCAGAUUUCAUGGCCUCCCCUCCCUUCCGGGGUCUUUGUCUCCCUAGUAUGAGCAGGUAGGGAGGCCAGGUAUGAAAAGGGACACAAGUCUCUCAGGCACCUGGCUGCUGUUAAGGACCCUUGGUGGUGUGGAAUGCAGAGGGAAACCAGGACAAAAGGCCACCUUGGCCGGCAUUUCAGAAUGGACCGGCAGCCAUCAGGACCAGGACUUAGGCAUAGGUCAGGUGGCUGACGGGGAACCACCCCCUGGGCUGGGCACAUUUGAACUGUGAGCGUGAACGUCUGAACUGGGCCAAGUCUGCAAACCCUGUGGCCGUGCCUCAGUGAACUCUGCUGUCCAUCACUUCCCAGCCCCCGGGAGCCCAGUGGGCGGCUCCUCCACACCACAUGCCUGUGCGGGGAGCUCCUGGAAUCUCUUCUGUGCCUGUGUCUCCUUCCCUGUGAAAACCCUGUGCAAUCCCAGCUUCCUGGAGCGAGUGCUCAGGCAGACCUGUCUGAACUGGUGUGUCCCCUGCUGCAGUUCCCGUGACCCCAAAUCUCUAUCGCCUUGCAGCUCCUGAGUUUGAACUGGAGACAGCUGUGGCUGCUGGCACGUGCCCUCUCACGGCAGACACCCAGUGCUGGCUUCUGAUCAGUGCCCCCCUGAGAUGCCUGGAGGGCCACGCCAGGGCCUCUCCACACCCCUGGUGUGGGAGACACUUCAGCUCAGCCUGGUACCCACCAUCUCACUCUGCCCUGGCAGUCCCUUAUGCCUUGGGUCCCCUUGCCCACGGGCCUCCCCUUGGCUGGGCACCAGCAAGCUCACUCAAGCCCAUUCCUGGAGCAGUGUCCACGGGACCUGGGGCAGGCCUUGGGUAGAGGCAGGGGCUCUCCUGACCACCACCCUACUCUGCCAUCUUCUCCCCAGUGCUCAAAAGAGCUGGAGGCUGGACUGGCCCUUAGGUGAGCCCACACCUAGACUUAUUUGCAUUUCCAACCCCAGGCCACGUGUUCUAAGUCCCUUCACCCUGGGGCAGCAGGGACAGUGCUCGAAGUCCCCUCCCCAUAAUUGUGGCUGCCCCUGUGGAGCUGGGCGGGGAGCUCUGGGCUAGCAGUGGAGGCUGAUGGUUGCUGCCCUCCUGUUGUCUGUGGCUCUUGGAGAUGGGUGAGGGCUCGGGGGCUUCCUUGCCUCAGUCCUCAGCCUUGGGUUCCGACAGAUGUACACUCAGCAUGGCGGCAUCAACCCCUGGCACAAACCUGUGUUCUCUCCCCAUCCCUUUCUCCCAGUCCUCGCCCCCACCCUGGUCCUGCUCCAGGGCUGCUGUCCACACCUCUGUCCGCCACCCUCUUUCCAUGGCCCCAGCUGCAAAGCAGACAUCUGCUGCCUCCCCUCUGUGUCCUGUGAGGGGACACUCUCUCUGUGACACUCUGUCCUGUGACCCACUCUGUCUCUGUCCCUCUGAUUGUCACCAAGAUUCACCAGACAUUGCCGCUGGCUAGCUACUUUAAUGAUGGGAAAGGUGGCGUAUCUUGGCAGCUGAAAAGGUAGCUUUCAGUGAGACUUUGAGACUACAGAUUACUGAAGGAUGAUUCACUGAGAACCUGGACCUGCUCAUUUACUAGUUAUGAGACUAUUUGAUUUUCAUUUUUAUUGGGAUUAAUUUUGUUCUCCUGUGGAUUCUGAUUAGAGUUCUCCAUGGCUCUUGCUGGUACCAUGUUGGGCUCCCUGGGCACAGGACUUAGCCAGGCUGUUGCCAGCCUCCUGUGCCACCCACGGCCCAGGUGUAGGAUUGGACUUCUGUCCUGUGGCAGGUUGUAAAGGGCCAGCUUUCUGUUCGACCAUGUGCUUCAGUGAACUGAACUCCGGUGCCUUCAGAACUACAGGAAGAAGCAGGGCCUCGUAGGAAGAGAGAAAACCUCCACUAACUCUCUGAGUUCUUAGAAUGACAGGCUUUUCAUUGCUUUUUCUGAAAAAUAAAAAAAUCACCAUGUCUGUAUAUUAUAUAAAGUAGGAAUAUAUUUAAAUGAUUAUAAACCAGAUGCAUUUGCAAACCUUUCAAGAGCAAUAGCUCCAUCAAGAAAGUGCUUAAAUAAAAAAUAAAUUAUUGCAAUUUUCAGGUUGAGAAAUAAAGUGUGUCUAAUUGCAGUGGCGAACAGGAGCAUUGAAUGAAGCGUAUCUGUCUUCUCCAGGAACUCCACCAAUCAGUCUGUGAUGAGGAAAUGUAAUGAAGAAACAGACACUAUUGGUGAGGUUUAACCGGCCAUCCCAGAGUGCCUGCGCUCACCAGCAAGCAGUCAGUCACCCGCUGGCCCACCCCCUUGCUCAGGCCAGGCCCAGGCCCAGCUGCACCCCAAGGCGCCUCUUCUCUCGCCCAUUCCUCUUACAUGCUCCUUGCUUCAGGAGCCCUCCCGACUGGUCCUGGAAGAUCUCCUCCCUGCAGCCUGCAGGGCACCUCUCAUGCUCUUGCUCUCCUCCCAGUCUGACGUGGCUUCAAGACUCCAGUUAGAAAGGCAGGGGGUGGGGGGUGCGAAGCUGAGGGUGCCGGCAGGUUCUCUGUGGCUGGCGAGGGGAGGCAAACCAGGCCGACCCUAGUGCGUGCGUGUGGAAGUCUGUGCACGUGGUCCAAUGGGGCACCCUGACCAUGACAAGACAGCCUUCCAGCCUCCCAGGAGAGUGAUGUCUAGGCCUAGCGAUGGCUGCUGGGGUCAGUACCAUUGUCUGGUCCGCUGGACACUCCCCUCCUGCCACAGUGGUGUGCAGAGGUGGAGAGCUGUCAGCGAGACACACUGGUGCCCUCAGGGUCAAGUGCCCUGCGGAGCCAUCUCGGUCACAUGACACACCUGCCCUGCUUCCCCAGCCUCCUUCCUGAGCGGGCAAUCCCACAGUAGCGAAGCCCUUCCUUGGCCUUGGUCUUGCUGCACCUGUCCUGGUCCCAACAGGUGCUCUCAUCUCCCUCUCUCCCUGUUGUUUCCCUCACAUCGUCUCAUUCAGUAACGAGAAUGGAGAGUUUAGUUUUGCCUCCUGCCUGGGACAUAUGUACACUCUUUGGAAAUUUGACUAAUUUUUUUUUUUUCUCAAGAGGUGUCGCUCUCUGUGAUUCACAGAAGUUCCAGGCACUGAGGCUCUCCCUGUGCUCCGUGGAGAAGUGAGUGACUUCUGAUUCCCUCUGUAGACAUUUCUGACGUCAGCGAAGGAAGGGAUGAGUUCUGUGUGAGUCUGAGCCUGAGUGGGAGGGAGAGUCCUGCAGAACUCAAGGUUCAUUGUCCAGCAUCAAUGAGGAGGCCAUUCUAGGCGUCCAGUAUUGCUGUCAGCGAGCGAGGGCCGAGUAGAAAUGAAUGCCGCCACCCAGAGAGUACCACGAACUAGCGCUUCCUUCGUCUUCUCCGCGCCUCUGACAUUUCCCUCCUGUGGGCCUCUGCAGUGUGUGAGCACAGCACAACCUGGAAGGUCCUGAUGGGUCUCCACUGGCCUAAGUCAGCCGUGAGGUGCCCAGACGUCAGCGGGAAAGACAGGGGUGACCCUGAGAGCUGAGUGUGGACACACACGCCAGUGUCAGAGGCUCCUCGUGGGAAGAAGGGAGCCAAGGAGUGAUUCAGAGAGCGAGAGGAGGGGCAUGUUUCGCAAAUACUGCCUUUGAAAUGAAAAUGUGUGUGACUAUGACAGAGAUAAGGCAAUCCCAGAGAGCCAGACCCUCAAGUGCACACCACCCAGGCUGAGGAAGAGAACUCGCGAUUCUCCCUCUGGUCACUCUCUUGUCCUAUUGGAGAUCAGCACUGAGUUAAGUUUUGCCACUACCAAUGCUUGUGCCUCUUUAUUUUCUUUAUUGUACACAUGCUAGUCCCCAAACGAUGUUUUAUUUAGCUUUACAGAAAUUCUGGAUUUCAUGUAACCGCGACCACAUGUACGUGUUCUUCUGUGGUUCUCCAUCUUGCUUAAUGUUGAGUUUGUGAGAUUCAUCCAUGGUGACAAGUGAAUGGAAGGAACCAUAGUUCAUCCAUCUUUAUUGCUUUAUAACAUUCUGCUAAAUGGAGAUGGGAUGAUAAAGCCAUCUAUCUGUCAAUAGAUUAUGUUCAGGCUUUUGCUGUUAUAAAAUGCUUCUAUAAAUAUUCUUGAACUUGUCUCCUGGUGAAUUAAAGUGAUGGAUAACACACACAUGCACACACACACACACACUUCAGGGUGUGGGAUGUGCAGAUCUUUCAGUUUCAUGAGAUAAUGUCCUUUUUUCUGUAAAUGGACUCUACUAGAAUUCAGUUGCUCCUCCUUCCCACCAGAGCUGCUCCUUUGUUGUGAUGCUCCUCACUUGGCAGGUGUGAGGCAGCAUCUGCCUGGCUCUGGCCACUCACUUCCACAAGCAUUGGAGAGGCUGAGCCUCUUGUCUUAGGGUUACUGGCCACUGAGCUCCACUUCCUUUUUGGAGAAAGGUUUGAGAUUUUUAUCUAUUUUUAAAUUGGGGUCUCUUUACAUAUUCUGAAUACAUUUUGUGAUUUUUAAAAUUGUUUUUAGUUUUUAGUGUUAGUUAUACAUAGAAGUGGGGCUUAUUUUGACAUAUUCAUAAAUGCUUGUUAUGGGUUAGAUACAAGGUAUCCCUCAAAGCUGUAAGAUAGUUUAGAAAUGAACUGAUUGGAUUAUGAGAGCCCAAAACUCACCAAUGCAUUAAUCCACUUGAAUGGAUUCACUGGGUGGUGGCUGUAGGCAGUGGGGAGUGGUUGGAGGAGGUGUGCCGCUGUCUGGCUGGGCACAAAUCAUGAGCCACUCAAACAGGAACAAACUUUAUUUCCAAACUCCCACAGACACCCGCUCCCCGGGAACCUCUCCCGAACGCCACCCACGCGGCUCCUCCAGGAACACACCACACAUCAACCGGAACUCCCUCCCCUGGGCUGCGCACGUACUCACCCUCGGAACCCUGCGAGAACUCAACAGAAACUCUAAAGUAGCAGGCGCCGGAGGCAGCAAGAGCCAUCCUAUUACCGGACAGUAAAGGUCUAAUAUACAACUGAACACACAACCUGUUUCAAUCCAGCAUAAUGGCAAUCCAACUUAAUGGCUCGCUUCUCAACCAGACUUCUGGUAAAAUGCCAGGGGCCAUUCCGACUUGGCUGUGGCUCUCAGCAGAGGUGGGUCUCUGGGUGCGUUUGCUUGGGGUUCAUACUCUGUCCCUAGUGAAAGAGCCCUUUGCUGCCUGUUGCCAUGUCCUGAGCUGCUUUCCUCUUCCCCAUGAAGUUCUGCCUUGCGUUGGGCCCCCGAGCAAUGGAGCUGGCCGUCUGUGGACUGAGACCUUUGAACCGAGCACCAAAUAAACUUUUCCCUCUCUAAAAUUAUUCUUGUCAGGUCUUUUGGCCACAGCAGCAAAACACUGCCUAAAACAGUACAUAACAUAGAUGCAUAACUUUUCAUGAAUUUGAAACAGCCUAGGCCACAUACUUAAUAAUGC